UUUAUGAAGAGUUUGAUCCUGGCUCAGGACGAACGCUGGCGGCACGCCUAACACAUGCAAGUCGAGCGGUGGACAUUGGAUUUAUUCAAGGUUCAUAGCGGCGGACGGGUGAGUAACACGUGAGCAACCUACCUCUAAGUGAGGGAUAGCUUCUGGAAACGGAUGGUAAUACCUUAUAAUAUAUUCUAGCCGCAUGACUGGAAUAUCAAAGAUUUAUCGCUUGAAGAUGGACUCGCGUCUGAUUAGAUAGUUGG
rnacentral:rRNA from 1 species